rnacentral:rRNA from 1 species
AUUCCCCUAGUAACGGCGAGUGAAGCGGGAAGAGCUCAAAUUUGAAAUCUGGCGGUCUCAGGCCGUCCGAGUUGUAAUCUAGAGAGGUGUUUUCCGUGCCGGACCGCGUAGAAGUCCCUUGGAAUAGGGCGUCAUGGAGGGUGAGAAUCCCGUUCACGACGUGGACUCCCGGUGCACUGUGAUACGCCUUCGAAGAGUCGAGUUGUUUGGGAAUGCAGCUCAAAAUGGGUGGUAAAUUCCAUCUAAAGCUAAAUACAGGCGAGAGACCGAUAGCGAACAAGUACCGUGAGGGAAAGAUGAAAAGAACUUUGGAAAGAGAGUUAAACAGUACGUGAAAUUGUUGAAAGGGAAACGCUUGAAGUCAGUCGCGUCCAUUGGGACUCAGCCUAGCUUUUGCUUGGUGCACUUCUCGGUGGAUGGGCCAACAUCAAUUUCGGGUGGCGAAAAAGGGCGGUCGAAAUGUGGCACCCUCGGGUGUGUUAUAGUCUUCCGUCGUACGCGUCGCCUGGGAUUGAGGACCGCAGUGGGACCGCAAGGUUGGGGCCGAUCGGCCACUUUACCCACUCAGGAUGUUGGCGUAAUGGCUUUAAACGACCCGUCUUGAAACACGGACCAAGGAGUCUAACAUGCCUGCGAGUGUUCGGGGUGACGAAACCCGUGCGCGUAAAUGAAAGUGAAAGGUUGGGACCCCUUUAGUGGGGCACCGACGCCCGAUCUUGAAGUUUACGGACGGAUUUGAGGCAGA